CCAGCAAGCCUUGGAUUAGAAGGAAUGCUUGCUCUUGACAGGGAGAAGCACUGUGAAACUAUAAUACAUCAUGUCAAAUAUGUAAGUGUGCAGAGUGUGCUGACCUACCUGUUGAGAUACUGCGAGCAGUAACUUCCACUAUGGAUCCACCACAACUUUAAUGCAAAGAUGAACGCAACAGAAGCACCACGCCUCUAAGGGCCACACAACACAAUCUACUCCAGAUAUCUGGUAUUAAGGCAGGAGAUGCAUCAUCUCUCAAAACAACGUGGCAGUAUUCUGAAAGUAACAGGGUACAGCCUGGCACCAUACCAUUAAAUAUUAACACAAGACACUGCAUCGAGUCUGUAUGACUUGGAAGGUGACGAAAGAAGGAGACAUUCUCUCACAGGAUGUUAGAAAGGAGUGCCUUUGACUUCACAAUUGCUAGGAAAAUGUUGCUGAACAUGAUGGCAGAAAAUGCAAAGACUGACUCCACCCCAGUUACUGUUCCUCACAGUCUCCACAAUAUUGUUGCUAAUGCAUGACAAUGAGUUCACUGGUCCUAAUCUCUGAUAGAAGGCUGGGAUUAGAAAGAAUGUAGGCUAGGACGGAAGGGAAGAACCCCUUUGAGGAACAGAGUGUGCAAGUCACUCUGUUUUUCAAUGGAAAAAGACUUAGGUCAAUGUGAAUGUUGUUUUCCAGCUCCCCUUAAGCCAUCCCAAGUGCCAAGCUUAAACUCUGACAUAAAGGUUGGUAGUAGUUUAAAAAGGCCAUAUAAAAAUAAAAAUUAAACUGAAUAAAAAAUAAAAAUGUAAUUGAACAGAGAAAUCUGGCCAGCUGGUGAGCAGAGUAAGAGAGAAAAGGAGCAGGACAGUUGCCCAGGCCACAGCUUGGAAGCCUGGUAAGGAUCUGGUAGAAGCCAUUUGCUGUAUGUUGGGAUGGCAAGGUGCUGCAGGCAAUACAGUCUAAGCGUUUUCCCUUUACUACAAGCCAGAAUUCACAACUUGAGGGGGGGGGGGGAAGCCAGUCUAAUGUGACUGUGAUAAGACAAUAAACCAGAGAGUAAGAUUUAUGUCCCUGCAACAGUAAACAUUUUCCUUAUGUCUGUUUCUGAGUCCACUGUACUCCAUCAUAGCUAGAAGCCAAAUUGCAGAAGCUCUCUACCCAUUGGGAACAUCAUAAAAGUCUGUUUAACCUACUGGGCAAAAAAUGGAGCAUAAUUCGGUAUAAAACACCCAUACCAGUGUUAAACAAGCUAGUUUAUCAUUCCAUCUUUUUUUCUACAGGCCCACCAUCAAUAGACUGGUGUAUCUCUUUCUCAUUCCACUGCAAUUCAAGGACUGUUUUGCAUUUAUAAAUGAGUAUUUCAACUUUGUGUAAGCUACUUUACCUAUUAUUCCAGUUACAGAACCAAGAUAUGUAAAAGGUCUUUGGACCAUCAACUAGUUAAUGACAACAACAACAACAAAACAAAAACAAACAAACAAACAAACAAAAACCCAACCCAAAACAAGAACAAAACCCCACCAAUCCUUAUUCUCUAAUAUGCAUGUAUUUAACCGAAAUUUGGCUCCUUUAAGGCUAUUGAUUCAGGUUUGUGUUAAAGGCAGAAUACCAAGUAAGAAGUACCACUGAACUGAGCUUCACGCCAUAUUUCAUAUACCCAUUAACAACACUGUUGUCCAAUACAGAAUUGUUGACAGAAUUCCAUGUGCUGCAGUUGAAUGCACAUGGCUAAAUGUUUGGUAAAAAGUUCACCUUGUCCUUCUCUGUGUGAUCCCUAAAAGGCUUCAGACUUUAUCUCAGUCCAGAAAGCAGUUGGCUGCCACAGCUGCCCUUGGAGAGCAUCAAGGAAAAUUUCCAACAUUUUCUCAAGGCACUGAGGUUAUUUUUAAUUAAAGCAAUCAAAAAAAAAAUAAAAAAAAAUCAGGAAUAUAAGGUUACAAGUUAACCAGUCAAAGACGGCCCUUAGUAUUUGCCUGGUUGAUUCCCAAUAUCUAGAAGGGGCACUUUAGAAAAAUUUUUCUGUAAAAUUACUCUACUCAAGGCCAAGUUGGUGCACAGUAAAUAAAUGAGUUGUUGUUUCACCUACAAGG